rnacentral:rRNA from 1 species
UACGUAGGGGGCGAGCGUUAUCCAGAUUUACUGGGCGUAAAGCGCGUGUAGGCGGCUGGUUAGGUGUGAUGUGAAAUCCUCGGGCUCAACCCGAGAACUGCAUUGCAAACCGGCCUGGCUAGAGUGCAGGAGAGGGAAGCGGAAUUCCAGGUGUAGCGGUGAAAUGCGUAGAUAUCAUUUGGAACGCCAAUGGUGAAAACAGGUAGCUGGGGCUGUGCUGACACUGAGACACGAAAGCCAGGGGAGCAAACGGG